rnacentral:tRNA from 1 species
GCUGGCGUAGCUCAACGGCAGAGCAGCGGUUUUGUAAACCGCAGGUUGCGGGUUCGAUUCCCAUCGCCAGCUCCA